AUAAAAUGGACACAGAGCUGGAGGAUUAAUAACUGUACAAGCUUCAUGCAACUGAAUGUGAUAAUAUGAGGCACAAACACCUAAUUUGCUCAACAGAUCAACAAUUAGUCUGGAACCAGUUUUUCUGUGGACAUAUGAACCAACUGCCAAUUG